rnacentral:rRNA from 1 species
CCCUUAGAUGUUCGGGGCCGCCCGCGCGCUACACUGAAGGAAUCAGCACGUCUUUCUCCUUGUCCGAAAGGACUGGGUAACCCGCUGAACCUCCUUCGUGCUAGGGAUUGGGGCUUGUAAUUCUUCCCCAUGAACGAGGAAUUCCCAGUAAGCGCGAGUCAUAAGCUCGCGUUGAUUACGUCCCUGCCCUUUGUACACACCGCCCGUCGCUACUACCGAUUGGAUGGUUUAGUGAGAUCCUCGGAUUGGUCCCGGAGCGGCCUCUGGUCGUGCCGGAGUGCCGAAAAGAAUGUCGAACUUGAUCAUCUAGAGGAAGUAAAAGUCGUAACA